CAGAUGCCUGCAUGUUGUUUCAGUCCUUAGUAAAGAUGUUAAGAUGGGGAAGGUAUCUUUUGUGCAGCCAGGCUCCUCCGACUUCUCCUUCUGGCCAUGCUGCAAUGGAGAGAUUUUCAAGGUCCAGGAAGUUUAAAGUCCAUUUGCAUCCAAACAGAGACUGGUGCUAGGCGGCGAAGGAGGAGGAGGUUGGUGGACUCGCCUGCUGCUUCCCCAGCUGCCUCCCCACCAGUGUCUCCACAGGAAGCAGGGAAGACAAUGGAGGAGGUGGACCAACCUGGGACCUCGGCUGCUUCCGCAGGGGUGCCACCUCACGUAGUAUGUA